AAAUGAAUGAAGCGGGUAGCGUGCUACUUUUUUCUCAAAAAAAAAAUAUAUAUAUAAGAAUUAAAGAGUUGAGACAUCAAAAUGCUUUUUACCUCACAAUCGUUUAAUACACUGAGCUAUAAUUCAACUACCUAACAAUCAUUAAUACACAAAGUUAAUUAUAACUGAACUGAACAUCUUACCAAAUAACCGACCGUCCCUAGAACAAGGGGCAAAGGGUUUGGCGGUUGGUACCUGAGACCCAAGUUCGAAUUCUAGUUGAUUCACAUUUCUAUCUAAAUCUAGCUAAGUUUAUUUCUAAAUGAAAUAAACGAAGCGGGAUAGUGCACUACCUAUAUCUCAAUAAAAAAAAAAAAAACAUCCUACCAAAUAAACUUUUGCAACAAAUA
rnacentral:lncRNA from 1 species